CGGCAACAGCUCAAAUUUGAAAUCUGGCCUCUCGGGGUCCGAGUUGUAAUUUGUAGAGGAUGUUUUGGGUACCGCCCCGGUCUAAAUUUCUUGGAACAGAAUGUCAAAGAGGGUGAGAAUCCCGUC
rnacentral:rRNA from 1 species